AAUAAGUAUAAUUUAUUUGUUAAUAGAUAAACUAGACUGGUGUGUAUGGCAAGUGUGUGAGAUCCCAGUUGGUUCUAAUCCCUGCCACAUUCCCACCCUGCCAAAGAUGAUGAGCACUUGAAGGCAACUGCAAGAGAAUACCUGACAGAACCCGGGAAGAGAAGCCAGGACCGGCCCUACCUGGUGCCUGACACCUGGCUAUGGGAUGAGAGACAGGGAGGACUGUCUGAGCCGGUGCGGGUCCUGAGAGGGAAAGGCCCUCUUUCCUGGGCAACUCCGGGGGGGCGAAAUGGCAAAGUGUGCUACCGUGCUAUCACUGCGACUAAGAAAAUGGCAGUGUGGCAGAGAGGAUGACGACACUGGCGCAGACAGGUGGUUUGUUUCCUCAGGCCAGAGGUCUGUCUAGGGCUGCCUUCCCUUAGAAGAGGGGCAGUGGCUCAGCCUCCACGGGCGCCGCCUCCCACCUUCCUCCCGCCCGCGGCCCCAGAAGGUGUAAAACAGACCCGGGGAGGGCCGUCCUCACAGCUCCUCUGCCACUGGUGCCCAGGGAGGAUGGCGCGCGCGAUGGGGGAGGGUAGGGGGGCGGACUCCGAUCAGUUCGGUACACACACAGACACAACACACACACACACCCCGGGACGAUCUGUAUCCAUCCGCUGCUCCCUCCAGCGCGGCCCUCCCUACCCUACCAACCCCAGCCCCCACUGCCCACCGCCCGCUGGCCCCACACGCUGCGGUGCCAGAAGUGUGCGGGGUGGGAAGGGUGGUCGCCCGAAGAGUAGCCGCGGAGGACCGGCGGGCCCCGCCCCUGAGGCCGGGACUCCUGGCCCCGCCCCUUUCUGGGUCGGAACUACGGUGGGCCUGGGAGGGGGCGUCGAGCCCAUUCGUGCCGUAUCCCUCCGCCCCCUUCCCGACACCCUCGCCGCGAGCGGUUGGUGCCGCAGCCUUCGUAGCCCCUGUCUGGUUUGGCGCAGCCGCGCGGGGGGCAGGACGCCUCUUUGCCGUUCUGCCCGCACGGCGAGCGGUGGGAAUCCGAGUGAGGAGCUGCGACAGGAGGGGGAGGCCGACCAUCGGGACCCUGCGUCUGCGAAGGUUUGUUCCUUUAUAGAGUACUGUAGAAAUCUGCAGGUAGCUGUUCACUUUGAAUUUGAUUAA
rnacentral:lncRNA from 1 species